UACGGAGGAUGCGAGCGUUAUCCGGAAUCAUUGGGUUUAAAGGGUGCGUAGGCUGGUAUUUAAGUCAGUGGUGAAAUUUUCGUGCUUAACAUGAGAGCUGCCAUUGAUACUGGAUACCUUGAGUGUAUUUGAUGUGGGCGGAAUGUGUUGUGUAGCGGUGAAAUGCAUAGAUAUGACACAGAACACCGAUAGCGAAGGCAGCUCACAAAGUUACAACUGACGCUGAUGCACGAAAGCGUGGGGAUCAAACAGG
rnacentral:rRNA from 1 species